rnacentral:rRNA from 1 species
AAUCAACGCUGGCGGCGUGCCUCAGACAUGCAAGUCGAACGAUUAAAGCUCUCUUCGGAGAGUGUAUAGAGUGGCGCACGGGUGAGUAACACGUAAGUAAUCUACCCUCGAGUGGGGAAUAACAGCCGGAAACGGUUGCUAAUACCGCAUAAUGCAGCGGCACCGCAAGGUGACAGUUGUUAAAGAUUUAUCGCUUGAGGAGGAGCUUGCGGCAGAUUAGCUAGUUGGUAGGGUAACGGCUUACCAAGGCUACGAUCUGUAACCGGUCUAAGAGGACGGUCGGUCACACUGACACUGAAUAACGGGUCAGACUCCUACGGGAGCAGCAGUCGGGAA